rnacentral:rRNA from 1 species
CGUGUAGCGAGUGAAGCGCCGGAGUGAUCCAGGUGUGGACGCUACACGAGUGAGAAUGCAGGCAUGAGUAGCGAAUGAAGAGUGAGAAACUCUUCCGCCGAAUGAUCAAGGGUUCCAGGGUCAAGCUAAUCUGCCCUGGGUAAGUCGGGACCUAAGGCGAGGCCGACAGGCGUAGUCGAUGGACAACGGGUUGAUAUUCCCGUACCGGCAAAAUAGCGCCCAUGACGAACCUAGUGAUGCUAAGUGCCCAAAACCUGGUGGAUCCCUUCGGGGACAAUCCAGGCGGAGCGCACGACCCGAACUAGUAUUAGUCAAGCGAUGGGGUGACGCAGGAAGGUAGUCCAACCCGGGCGAUGGUUGUCCCGGGCCAACAGCGUAGGGCGAGUGGUAGGCAAAUCCGCCACUCAUAUGCCUGAGACUGGAUAGCGAGUCCGUAUGGACGAAGUGGAUGAUCCUAUGCUGCCGAGAAAAACCUCUAGCGAGCUAUGCGCCGCCCGUACCCCAAACCGACUCAGGUGAUCAGGUAGAGAAUACUAAGGCGAUCGAGUGAACCAGGGUUAAGGAACUCGGCAAAAUGCCCCCGUAACUUCGGGAGAAGGGGGGCCGGAUUUGUCAAUGCACUUGCUGCAAGAAGCAAUGAUGGCCGCAGAGACCAGGCCCAAGCGACUGUUUACUAAAAACACAGGUCCGUGCGAAGUUGUAAGACGAUGUAUACGGACUGACUCCUGCCCGGUGCUGGAAGGUUAAGGGGACGGGUUAGCACGCAAGUGCGAAGCUCAGAACUUAAGCCCCAGUAAACGGCGUGGUAACUAUAACCAUCCUAAGGUAGCGAAAUUCCUUGUCGGGUAAGUUCCGACCUGCACGAAUGGAGUAACGACUUGGGCGCUGUCUCAACCAUGGACUCGGCGAAAUUGCACUACGAGUAAAGAUGCUCGUUACGCGCGGCAGGACGGAAAGACCCCGGGACCUUUACUACAAUUUGGUAUUGGUGUUUGGUUCGGCUUGUGUAGGAUAGGUGGGAGACUUUGAAGCAGGGACGCCAGUUCUUGUGGAGUCAACGUUGAAAUACCACUCUGGUCGUACUAGAUGUCUAACCUAGGUCCGUUAUCCGGAUCAGGGACAGUGCCUGAUGGGUAGUUUAACUGGGGCGGUUGCCUCCUAAAAUGUAACGGAGGCGCUCAAAGGUUCCCUCAGCCUGGUUGGCAAUCAGGUUUCGAGUGUAAGUGCACAAGGGAGCUUGACUGUGAGAGUGACAACUCGAGCAGGGACGAAAGUCGGAACUAGUGAUCCGGCGCUGGCAUGUGGAAACGGCGUCGCUCAACGGAUAAAAGGUACCCCGGGGAUAACAGGCUGAUCUUCCCCAAGAGUCCAUAUCGACGGGAUGGUUUGGCACCUCGAUGUCGGCUCGUCGCAUCCUGGGGCUGGAGUAGGUCCCAAGGGUUGGGCUGUUCGCCCAUUAAAGCAGCACGCGAGCUGGGUUUAGAACGUCGUGAGACAGUUCGGUCCCUAUCCGCCGCGCGCGCA